UACGUAGGGAGCAAGCGUUGUCCGGAAUCAUUGGGCGUAAAGCGUGCGCAGGCGGUUCGUUAAGUCAGCUGUGAAAGCCCCGGGCUCAACCUGGGAAUUGCGGUUGAAACUGGCGAACUAGAAUCUGGCAGAGGGGGGUGGAAUUCCACGUGUAGCAGUGAAAUGCGUAGAGAUGUGGAGGAACACCGAUGGCGAAGGCAGCCCCCUGGGCUGAGAUUGACGCUCAGGCACGAAAGCGUGGGGAGCAAACAGG
rnacentral:rRNA from 1 species